CAGACACAGUUAGAGGUUUCCAAGAGAUUUUGUGCUGGGGAGGCUGCUUGCUACAAGCUCCCAAAGCUCUGGGAGGACAUAGUAUUCAUUCCUCCCUCAGCAGAAGCGGUGAGGCAAGAAGCUCUGGGGAGCACCCAGCCUUGGACUUUUAGCAUAGUGUGUCAGGUCUUCAUAGUUUGGGCCCAGGGCACAGAGAAGUCACAGCUCUCUGGCAUCCUGUGACCUUUACCCUCUUUGCCAAGGGAAAAUGUGGCCCACCAAAGCAAGAAACUUGAGGGCAUGGGUCACCCCAGCCCUGGCAUCUGCCCAGAGCCCGAGAAGGAAGGAACAAUGAUCCUCCAGCUACCUCACAGGGCUGGCACAGGUGACCACUGCCCUGGCAUCACCCAGCUGUGUCCGGCAGCCUGAAC
rnacentral:lncRNA from 1 species